rnacentral:rRNA from 1 species
CCUACGGGAGGCUGCAGUGGGGGAUAUUGCACAAUGGGGGAAACCCUGAUGCAGCGACGCCGCGUGUGGGAAGACGGUCCUCUGGAUUGUAAACCACGGUCCCCAGGGACGAAGAUGACGGUACCGGGGGAGGAAGCGCCGGCUAACUACGUGCCAGCAGCCGCGGUAAUACGUAGGGAGCGAGCGUUGACCGGAAUUACGGGGUGUAAAGGGAGCGUAGGCGGGACUGCAAGUUGGGUGUCAAAUCUACCGGCUCAACCGGUAGCCGCACUCAAAACUGCAGUUCUUGAGUGAAGUAGAGGCAGGCGGACUUCCUAUUGUAGCGGUGACAUGCGUCGAUCUUAGGAGGCACACCAGUGGCGCAGGCGGCCUGCUGGGCUUUUCCUGACGCUGAGGCUC